rnacentral:rRNA from 1 species
GAUGGACGCUGGCGGCGUGCCUAAUACAUGCAAGUCGAGCGAACAGACGAGGCGCUUGCUCCUCUGACGUUAGCGGCGGACGGAUGAGUAACACGUGGAUAACCUACCUAUAAGACUGGGAUAACUACGGAAAACCGGAGCUAAUACCGGAUAACAUGUUGAACCGCAUGGGUCAACAUUGAAAGACGCGCUUGCUGUCUCUACUAGAUGGAUCCGCGCCCCAUUAGCUAGUUGGUAAGGUAACGACUUACCAAGGCAACGAUGCGUAGCUGACCUGAGAGGGUGAUCGGCCACACUAGAACUGAGACACGGUACAGACUCCUACGGGAGGCAGCAGUAGGAAAUCUUCCGCAAUGGGCGAAAGCCUGACUGAGCAACACCGCGUGGGUGAAGAAGGUCUUAGGAUCGUAAAACUCUGUUAUUAGGAAAGAACAAUUGUGGAAGUAACUACGCACGUCUUGACGGUACCUAAUCAGAAAGCCACGGCUAACUACGUG